AUAUACAUAACGAAGUGCGAAAAACAAUGAACUAAUGUAAAGAAAUAGUGCGAGUACUCCAUUUAGCGUGUUCCCCGCGUGGAACUACAUUUUUUUUCGUUUCCCUCAUUUUGUGUAAUGGUAAUGUGCGCUUGUGCUUGUGUGUGAGAGCGAAUCGAAAAAAAAUUACCGUGAAACUUAGCAGUAGCUACAUUUUUUGAAAAUAUUUCCGUACGUAAAUACUUGUUCUCAGUUGUUGGUGCGAAUGUGCGUGUGAAACUCGCGUGUUUCGUCCAUACCUACAUGGAAUAUUCGAAAAAUAUUCCGGGUGAGCACACGAGUCUGACGACAGAGAAAACCGCAGCAGAGACAAACACGGCAAAUCCCGAGUUGGGCGGAGGAGCAGCACUUCCACACAUUACGCCCCACAUUGGGGCUUGGCAGUAGCUGUAUCCGCCGUAGCAGCGGAAAAACGCAGCGGCAGGAGCAAGAGAAGCGGACGCAGAGUCGGUACGGGAAGCGUGAAGUAGCACAGAAUGGAGCGACGCGGACGCAUACCGGUGGCCAAGUUCCGCACCCAGGAGGCCAAGACACGCAGCAGAAGUCGCGUCCGGGAGCCGGACUACAACGAGCAGGACCCCGAGCAUGAUAUGUUCACCCUGCUGGAGGAUAACAUUGCCCUGAAGGAGGAGAACAAGGCCCUCAAGCUGGAGAUUGACACCCAUAAAACCACACAGGAGGAACAGCAGGCCCAGCACGAGAAGCUCUGCAUCCAGCUGGAGGCACUGCAGCAGCAGCAGGCCAACUUCGAGGCGCAAAUCAAGGAGCUCGGCGGCAAGUUCAGCAAGGCCCUCAACGAGCGCAACGCCCUGGACAAGCUGCACAAAAUGAAGGUCGAUCAAAUACAAAAUCUCACCAGCGAACUGGAGCACAUGCGGGAGAAGCAGCUAGAGCAGGAGCCCGGUCUGGGUAGUAGUGCAGCCCAGCAGGUCCUGGGCUCUGCGGAGCUGAAGCGAAAGUUGUUCAAGAUCCUGCAGCAGGGUAGCACCGACAGCGGUGACAGCAUCGGCAAUCACGAUUUGGACAGCCUGGUGGAUGUGAAUGCGGAUGGUGUGUCAAUCACCAGUGGCCUUGUGGAGCGCCUGGCGGAUGAGUUCCUGUCGCUCAAGAAUGCCACGAAUGCCGUGGAGCUACAGCUGUACGAGGCCAACGAGAAGAUGGCCGAACUGUUGGAGCAUCAACACUCGCUGGAGGAGGAGAACGAGACGCUGCGCUCGGAGAACAGCAACCUGACCAAGGUGGCCAAGCUGCUGACGGAGAACAUGAAGGAGAGUGUGGAGACCAGUCAGAAAAUGGAGAGUGCUCUGAUCAAGCUGAAGCAGCGCAACGAUGAGCUCACUGCCAAGACACGGGAUCUGACCGAUGGACAGCCCGGCGCGAGGACCAGUGCCAGUCCUAGUGCCUCGCCCACCACUCUGAAGGAGGAGCAGGUGGAGUUUGAGCAGAUCAAGGAUCAGGUGCAGCAGCAGGCGCGCGAACACAACGAGCGCAUUGUGGAAAUGCAAACACGCAGCGUGUUUGACAUUUUCAAGCCGCUCUCGAACAUGUUCAAGGGCGGCAACUGAAGCACAACACAGCGGCUGCAACUUCUGAAUGGCACACACAUGAGAAGUGCAUGGGAAUGUUCCGCCCUGCUGCCUUCUGCCGGGUGUGUUGUUGUUCCCACCACCACCCCCGCCCCAUUUGGUGCUGGGUACUGUCCACCAUCUAUCCACACACCGUUCAAUACCAUCUCUGGGAAACGUCUUGACGCUUUAGUGCGGGAGUUCAAGUCGGGCGGCGUUACACUUCGGCGCCGCAAUCGCCGC